CUUUGGUAUCGCUUCCGAAAGGAUGUCUUUCAUUAUAGAAGCGAAUCUUUACAGUGGCGACGAGCCGAAACGGACCGAAAGAUUUUUGAAGAUCAGCUUGAAGCGAAUCAAGCUGCUGGAAGUAAUUUUUUCAAGCUAUUUUGUUGCGCAUUAGAAGUAAACGAAAUAUUAAAUAACGAUUUCUUUUAAAUGAUGGAGUUUAGCGAAAAAAUCAAACGUGACAAAUAUCAAAAAUCCAUUACAAGAAACCAAGGAACGAAUGUGGUAUACUUCUUUGGAGUCUUGUGUAAAAUAAUCGGCAAAAUCGGACAGACAUUGUUGCAGAGGCAACGUUAUAGCUGCUACGAACGGGAAGCAGACGUGUGGUACUGGCAGACGUCGGCACUGCCUUGACUUCAUCAACGACACCGAAGCAUUUGAGUUCAUAUUGAGUAUUGAUGCACGAACUAGUGGAAGCUCGUAGGUUUCAGAGCACUCUAUAGAAAAUUACUAACUUAUUUUGAAAAAAAAAGUUUAUCAGAAUUAUAGUUCUACAUUAUCUUUACGGAACAUGACGAAGUAUAAAAGGGAGAGCAUAAUCGAAUUCUUCCUCAUCGAAAACAAUAGGAAAACAGAUGUUGUGUGAAGUUCCUCCGUACGCCAUAUCUUGAUCCCGAAUUCGAAGAUGAAUUAAAAAGAAAAACUUUCAAAUAUAGCUAUCCUAGCACUUAACGAUUCAGUAAGAGAAUCGGAUUUUUCAAGAAAACACAAAAGAAAGAAGUAUGUGGAUCAUAAGCAGAACGCCAAGAAUUCUAAAAUUGAUGUCAGAUUUUAUGUAUUUGCUAAACAUUUCAUCAAACGUAAAUUUCAUUAACAACCACAUGUUGUGUUGAAGAGGGAAAUUUGACUAACGGACAUAAAGAAUCGGAACAGAAACAAACGUGUACUCCAGAGAAUCGUUACAGUCGUAAGAAUCGGAGGAAGUAAAUGGAAGAUUACGUUAUUUAUAAAUGCAAUUGUAUGAAAUAAUGUUAAGGGUUAAUUAUGUUAAAUUGGUAAACUAUCAUCAAAAUAUUGUUAACGUAAAGGGGAGAUGUAGU